CCCUGCGCAAGGGAUCUUUUGGCUCGCUGUGCGAUGAAGGGCGCAGCGGAGGGCGAAAUGUGCAGGAGCGGCAGCAGUGAUCGCACGUGCCCGAAGGUGCCGCAAGGCAGGCAGACCCCUUUGAAUUAAGCAUAUGAGUAGAGGGAGGAAAAGAAACUAACAAGGAUUCCCGCAGUAGCGGCGAGCGAAGAGGGAACAGCCCGGAGUGCAAUCGCAGCGAUGCGAGAUGUCAGCUGGCGCGCGGAACCGUUCUGGAAAGACGGGCCGGAGAGGGUGAGAGCCCCGUGGACGCGCGCAGACCGGCCGGAGUAGCGGUGCUUGGUAGUGCACCGUCAAGGGGUGGCAGCGUGCAUCCAAGGCUAAAUACGGCAGCGAGACCGAUAGCGGAGAAGUAGAGUGAUCGAAGAAGGAAUAGUUGAAAAGGGAAAU
rnacentral:rRNA from 1 species